AAUACACUUAGGUGCGAGCUCGAAACCGUCGCCCACAUCCAUAAUAUUUCUAUAAUCAAGCUACUAAUUAAUUAAAUUAAAUUAUUUAUUCAUUUAUUUAUUUAUAAUAAAUAAUUGAUGAACUAAAAUUUUUUUAAUAAUUUUUAAAUAAUAUUUCAGGUCCAAAUAAAUUAUACGGACUCGAAAUUCAAAAAUUUCGCGCUUCCCAAAAACAUAAGCGUCUAAAAGGCAAUAUAGCCAAAGGUGUUAGAAUCUGAAUUCAAAGAUGCCCUACACAAAGCUUGAGACUCGUGGAACCUAAAUAUGUAAAUAUCUCUGUUAGAAUCUCAUUGGAAACCACCAGAUUGAGACCAGACAGCUUCAGCUCCGACAAAACUUAGACACGGCUAUAAGGGAUAGCAAAAUAGAGAGAAGGCUGCUCUUAAGGUUUUUGAUGAUGGAGAGUCCGUUUUCAAUGUUGGCUUUCCUAAAAGACUACAAUAAACAGUGGUUUAAGAAGGUGGUAGCCGGUUUGGGUGCUUUCUUUCUCCAAGCCGUCGCUUUUCCGAUGAAAGAAUUUGAGGGAAGUGGUCGCCGGUGGAAGGAGGAGGAGAGGGAGGCAUUUUGGGGUUGGCUGGUGGUGGUGUGUGCAGCAGACAUGGAAGAGAAGGGAGGGAGAGUUUGAGCAGCCGGAAAGGGGAGGAAGAAGGAGGGGGGUAGAGCUGGGUGUUUUCCUCUUUUGAGAAAAAUUCCCUUUCAAGUUCCCUCCUCCCUUUUGGACUUGCUAUAGUAGCCCCACUAACCAUUUAUUUAAUUUUUUACAUAAACACACACAUGCACACACACAUAUAUAUAC
rnacentral:lncRNA from 1 species